GUUGAGGCUGUGCUGUAUGAGGGAAGAUCUGAAGGUGAGGUUGUGCUGUAUGAGGGAAGUGUUAAGAAAGAUGGGGCUGUGCUGUAUGAGGGAAGACCUGAAGGAAGAUGAGGUUGUGCCGUAUGAGGGAAGAUCUGAAGGUGAGGUUGUGCUGUAUGAGGGAAGAUCUGAAGGUGAGGUUGUGCUAUAUGACCGAACUUUGAAGUUAGUAUAGAUUAUUGUGCAUAUAUAUAUAUAUCAGACGUUGGGUUUGGUCGUUUGUGUUUCAAGCUGACAAUUCAAACCAAGAUGAAUACUGAUCAGAAUACCAUGUUGGUGUUGAUUAUAAUACAAUAAAACUACAACGACCUUUUUCAGUUGAAUUUUGUUUCUUGGAGUUUAUGGAUCACGUGGACAAUAAGUCGUAUGUUUCGUUUCACUUGGACUAACUGAGGAUAUAUAUAUAUAUUUAAAUUUCAAACAUAAACAACAUAACUAUAUUAAUAUGUAGCAAUUAAGCAUUUCCAUUUUCAAUAUGAAAUGUGAAUUGUUAGCUUAGUAGUAGCCGGUUUCUUAAAAAAAAAAAACAUGCCAAAUGUUGUUUGUACACGUUAUAUCUCAAAGCUAAAUAAUGUAUGUUCUAUUAUACAAUGAA